rnacentral:rRNA from 1 species
UACGGAGGGGGCUAGCGUUGUUCGGAAUUACUGGGCGUAAAGCGCACGUAGGCGGCUUUGCAAGUCAGAGGUGAAAUCCCCGGGCUCAACCCGGGAACUGCGUCCGAUACUGGAAGGCUUGAAUCCGGGAGAGGGAUGCGGAAUUCCAGGUGUAGCGGUGAAAUGCGUAGAUAUCUGGAGGAACACCGGUGGCGAAGGCGGCAUCCUGGACCGGCAUUGACGCUGAGGCGCGAAAGCCAGGGGAGCAAACGGG